UUAACAUCCCAGUCUACCUGGGCCCCAAAUAUGUCUGUAACUCCCAUGAGAAGAUAAUCCUCUGAAAGGAAAAGAGAACACCUGUAUACCUUCUUUUCUUUCUUCUUCUCCCACCCAAGCAUCUACCACACUGCCAGAUAUGUAUGAUGUUACCCAAAGGAGUUCUACAGAUGUGGAUUUCUCAGAGAACCAAGAAGAUGAGUGCAAGAAGCCAGGAACUGCGUCAUUCCUACAUCAUUAGAGUAUUUUCCUGUGUCACCUCCAGAGAAGAGGCUAUCAGAGCUUCCCUAUAAGUUUUGGGAUCCUUACUCCUACACUAAGGAAAAACUUCUCUGAGGUAGCACUUCCCAAAUUAGAACCCAUUGUAUUAACAUAAGCUAUUGCUUAUAUGCCAAA